UACGGAGGGUGCGAGCGUUGUCCGAAAUCACUGGGCGUAAAGGGCGCGUAGGCGGCCUGAUAAGUAGGGGGUGAAAUCUUGCGGCUUAACCGCAAGGCUGCCUUCUAAACUGUCAGGCUCGAGCACAGUAGAGGCAGGUGGAAUUCCCGGUGUAGCGGUGGAAUGCGUAGAGAUCGGGAAGAACAUCAGUGGCGAAGGCGGCCUGCUGGGCUGUUGCUGACGCUGAGGCGCGACAGCGUGGGGAGCAAACAGG
rnacentral:rRNA from 1 species